UUGUCUUGCAUUGUUCCGGCCUCCGUUUACGGUGCUGCCAAAUUUUGGGUUUCUCUUCCAUUUCUCAAUUCAAUUGCUUUGCUGGUUUAGCCAUUGUUGCGUCAGUGACAGAGUUGUGGUCUCACUGUAUGGAGACAUGAGAAGGGCUCAGUUUCAAUUUCUUUAGGGAUAUAGUUCAAUUCAUCUUCCAUUAAUGUACGUUCUUUUACUACCGACUCCCAAAGAAGGUACCAAAUUUGCUUAGGGCUAUUCAAGAAAUUCCUGUGGCUUUGGCUCUUCUCAUGCAUUUGAAGAAGAUGGAAAAGACAAAAACUAUUGACACCAGGUAACCAAAAUAUGGCUAUGUUAGACACAAAAAAGAGGUCUUGCCAAUGGAGCAAGAAGUACAAUGAAGCUACACAUAUGCCCAAUGGAAAAGAUAUGCAUUUGUUGUUAUAAAUUUAUACAAAAGAUGUUCUUAAUUAUUUUACAUAUGAAUCUCCAAAAAUAAGUUAGAAUUGAAUCCUUAACAUCAGGUGUUAACUUCUAUAUUAUGGUCACGUAAGUGCCUCAACUGCAAGGCAAGAGUAAUCCGAAAUUCAUGUUCAUUUAGAUUUGAGAAAAUAAUAUUCUGAU